rnacentral:rRNA from 1 species
GACGAACGCUGGCGGCGUGCCUAACACAUGCAAGUCAGGGAUUAGAAUGAAGGGUAGCAAUACUUUUUAUUCAGUACCGGCGCACGGGUGAGUAACACGUAGGUAAUCUACCCUCAGGCGGGGAACAACAUCGAGAAAUCGGUGCUAAUACCGCAUGACGCAACGAGACCACAUGAUCUUGUUGUUAAAGAUCCGCAAGGAUCACCCGAGGAUGAACCUGCGCCCGAUUAGCCUAGUUGGCGGAGUAAUAGCCCACCAAGGCAACGAUCGGUAGCCGACCUGAGAGGGUGAUCGGCCACACUGGAACUGAGACACGGUCCAGACU